GAUGAACGCUGGCGGCGUGCCUAAUACAUGCAAGUCGAGCGAACAGACGAGGAGCUUGCUCCUCUGACGUUAGCGGCGGACGGGUGAGUAACACGUGGAUAACCUACCUAUAAGACGGGGAUAACUUCGGGAAACCGGAGCUAAUACCGGAUAAUAUAUUGAACCGCAUGGUUCAAUAGUGAAAGACGGUUUUGCUGUCACUUAUAGAUGGAUCCGCGCCGCAUUAGCUAGUUGGUAAGGUAACGGCUUACCAAGGCAACGAUGCGUAGCCGACCUGAGAGGGUGAUCGGCCACACUGGAAGUGAGACACGGUCCAGACUCCUACGGGAGGCAGCAGUAGGGAAUCUUCCGCAAUGGGCGAAAGCCUGACGGAGCAACGCAGCGUGAGUGAUGAAGGUCUUCGGAUCGGAAAACUCUGUUAUGAGGGAAGAACAAAUGUGUAAGUAACUAUGCUCGUCUUGACGGUACCUAAUCAGAAAGCCACGGCUAACUACGUG
rnacentral:rRNA from 1 species